AAUCUUUUUUGAUGGAUUCUAAGGCAUUAUUGCACUAUAUUGUAAUUGCAACCAAGAAAACCUGUUAGGUCUUUUCUGGUUUGUAAGGACUGUGUAACAUUUUCUGGCCUAUCUAAUGUCAAAAUAUAUGCACUGCUGGCAUCUAUCUUGAGUACUCUUGCACACAAACACACUUUUCCCCCUUUUCAGCUCCACUGAUUCCUCUGACAGUGCGCAUAACUACGAGAAUUCAUUACGGUUCUUGACGAAUGUGCCGUUAAAAUGCUUACAGCUGGAGCGUAGCGGCAGAGGGGAAGUGACAGAGCUCCCGGCAUCUCAGUGGCGAUAAGGGGAUUUCUGAAAUUCUAAUGGGGCCAUUACUGCAGCGACCACUCCACCCGCUGUCUCAUGCUAACAUCAACGGAUCAGCGAUUCAGCGUUUAAUUACAGCAGUGACACCACUGUCUUGCGUCUCACAACAGGGAGGAUGGGAGCAAGGGCUAUUAUGGGAGUGCACUGCAGCGCGGCGGUUGAACAUGCACUGCAUGAACAAACCCAGAGAUACACCGGCCCCGGAUAGCAGAGGCACUAACUGGACAGACAACAUUUACCUCUCUGUUGAACAGCACUUACAGCAAUACCAAGGGUCCAGUCAUUACAUCAAUUUAUGACUUCAAUGUAUGACUAAACACAACUGAAAGAGAAAGUGUGGACAAUGAGGUGAUUGCAAGCAAAGAUAAAUGGUUUCUUUGGCAGCUUUCACAGUCCCUUAAUUUACAAUUAAUUGACAAUUCAUAUUUUUAUGGAAUAUUGCAGUAUUUAUUAUAAAUGAUUUAUCCGUGCACAUUGUUACUUUUUUUUUUUUUUUAAUUCAUGUGCCCUCAUAAUCUUUAAUAAAAAUAGCUUCCCCUC